rnacentral:rRNA from 1 species
GACGAACGCUGGCGGCGUGCCUAAUACAUGCAAGUAGAACGCAGUUGCGAACGGGUGAGUAACGCGUAGGUAACUGCCUCAUAGCGGGGGAUAACUAUUGGAAACGAUAGCUAAUACCGCAUACUGUGAGAUGGACCUGCGUUGUAUUAGCUAGUUGGUGAGGUAAAGGCUCACCAAGGCGACGAUACAUAGCCGACCUGUGAGGCUGUUCAGCAACCCUGGGACGGAGAAACGGACCAGCGUCCUACGGGUGGAAGCAGUAUGGAAUCUUGGGCAAUGGACGAAAGUCUGACCGAGAAACGCCGCGGGAGUGAAGAAAGUUUUCGGAUCGUAAAACUCUCUUGUUAGAGAAGCGGUAUCUAACCAGAAAGCCACGGCUAACUACGUGCCAGCAGCCGCGGUAAUAC